rnacentral:rRNA from 1 species
GAGUUUGAUCCUGGCUCAGAGCGAACGUUAGCGGCGGGCCUAACACAUGCAAGUCGAGCGAGAAAGUGGCUUCGGCCAUCAGUAAAGCGGCGGACGGGUGAGUAACACGUAGGUAAUCUUCCCUUGAGCGGGGGACAACGAGCCGAAAGGCUCGCUAAUACCGCAUACGUUUCCAGAGACCCCGGUCUUUGGAAGGAAAGCUAGGUAGCAAUAUCCGGCACUCGAGGAGGAGCCUGCGUCGCAUCAGCUAGUUGGUGGGGUAACGGCCUACCAAGGCGAAGACGCGUAGCUGGUCUGAGAGGAUGAUCAGCCACACUGAAACUGAGACACGGUUCAGACUCCUACGGGAGGCAGCAGUGGGGAAUAUUGGACAAUGGGCGCAAGCCUGAUCCAGCCACGCCGCGUGAGUGAUGAAGGCCUUCGGUC